UUGAACGCUGGCGGAAUGCUUUACACAUGCAAGUCGAACGGCAGCACGGACUUCGGUCUGGUGGCGAGUGGCGAACGGGUGAGUAAUAUAUCGGAACGUAUCCAAUAAUGGGGGAUAACUAAUCGAAAGGUUGGCUAAUACCGCAUACGCCCUACGGGGGAAAGCUAGGGACCUUCGGGCCUGGCGUUAAUGGAGCGGCCGAUAUCUGAUUAGCUAGUUGGUGGGGUAAAGGCCCACCAAGGCGACGAUCAGUAGCUGGUCUGAGAGGACGACCAGCCACACUGGAACUGAGACACGGUCCAGACUCCUACGGGAGGCAGCAGUGGGGAAUUUUGGACAAUGGGCGCAAGCCUGAUCCAGCCAUUCCGCGUGAGUGAAGAAGGCCUUCGGGUUGUAAAGCUCUUUCGCAAGGGAAGAAAACUUAGAUACUAAUAUUAUCUGAGGUUGACGGUACCUUGAUAAGAAGCACCGGCUAACUACGUGCCAGCAGCCGCGGUAAUACGUAGGGUGCGAGCGUUAAUCGGAAUUACUGGGCGUAAAGCGUGCGCAGGCGGUUUUGUAAGUCAGAUGUGAAAUCCCCGAGCUCAACUUGGGAACUGCGUUUGAAACUACAAGACUAGAAUAUGUCAGAGGGGGGUAGAAUUCCACGUGUAGCAGUGAAAUGCGUAGAGAUGUGGAGGAAUACCAAUGGCGAAGGCAGCCCCCUGGGAUAAUAUUGACGCUCAUGCACGAAAGCGUGGGGAGCAAACAGGAUUAGAUACCCUGGUAGUCCACGCCCUAAACGAUGUCUACUAGUUGUUGGUGGAGUAAA
rnacentral:rRNA from 1 species